rnacentral:rRNA from 1 species
GAGGAACGCUGGCGGCGUGCCUAAUACAUGCAAGUCGAGCGAACAGAUGAGGAGCUUGCUCCUCUGACGUUAGCGGCGGACGGGUGAGUAACACGUGGAUAACCUACCUAUAAGACUGGGAUAACUUCGGGAAACCGGAGCUAAUACCGGAUAAUAUAUUGAACCGCAUGGUUCAAUAGUGAAAGACGGUUUUGCUGUCACUUAUAGAUGGAUCCGCGCCGCAUUAGCUAGUUGGUAAGGUAACGGCUUACCAAGGCAACGAUGCGUAGCCGACCUGAGAGGGUGAUCGGCCACACUGGAACUGAGACACGGUCCAGACUCCUACGGGAGGCAGCAGUAGGGAAUCUUCCGCAAUGGGCGAAAGCCUGACGGAGCAACGCCGCGUGAGUGAUGAAGGUCUUCGGAUCGUAAAACUCUGUUAUUAGGGAAGAACAAAUGUGUAAGUAACUAUGCACGUCUUGACGGUACCUAAUCAGAAAGCCACGGCUAACUACGUG